rnacentral:lncRNA from 1 species
CUUCAAAGGAAAGUGGAAAGUCCACUGUAUCUAUAUCCUUCCAGUUAAUUCUUUCCCAAUGUGUUUUGAAGCGGUUUAAUUUGUGAAGCUCUUUUUUCCACUCCAAACACACCGUACACCAUCUUCCAAACACACUUCCAAACUUUCGACUACAGUCAACAUUACAGUUUCCUGACGAACAUUUCACAUAAAUGUCUCUAUGUAUU